rnacentral:rRNA from 1 species
AAUAUUCCACAAUGGAGGGAACUCUGAUGCAGCAACGCCGCGUGAGCGAAGAAGGUUUUCGGAUCGUAAAACUCUGUCAUUGGGGAAGAAUAAAUGACGGUACCCCAUGAGCAAGCCCCGGCUAACUACGUGCCAGCAGCCGCUGUAAUACGUAGGGGGCGACCGUUGUCCGGAAUUAUUGGGCGUAAAGGGUACGUAGGCGGCUAUAUAAGUCAGGUGUGAAAUACCAGUGCUUAACACUGGAAUUGCAUUUGAAACUGUGUAGCUUGAGUGCAGGAGGGGAAAGUGGAAUUCCUAGUGUAGCGGUGAAAUGCGUAGAGAUUAGGAGGAACACCAGUGGCGAAGGCGACUCUCUGGUCUGUAACUGACGCUGAGGCACGAAAGCGUGGGGAGCAAACA